UUGGAAACGAUGAUUAAUACCGUAUACGCCCCAAGGGGGAAAGAUUUAUCGCUAAAGGAUCGGCCCGCGUUAGAUUAGGUAGUUGGUAGGGUAAUGGCCUACCAAGCCGACGAUCUAUAGCUGGUUUGAGAGGAUGAUCAGCAACACUGGGACUGAGACACGGCCCAGACUUCUACGGAAGGCAGCAGUAGGGAAUCUUGGACAAUGGGCGAAAGCCUGAUCCAGCCAUGCCGCGUGAGUGAUGAAGGCCCUAGGGUUGUAAAGCUCUUUCGCCAGGGAAGAUAAUGACGGUACCGGUAAAGAAACCCCGGCUAA
rnacentral:rRNA from 1 species